CUAGCGUGGCAGAGUUUGGCAAAUGCAA
rnacentral:tRNA from 1 species